ensembl:misc_RNA Metazoa_SRP Metazoan signal recognition particle RNA
GCUGGGCAUGGUGGUGCACGCCUGUAAUCCCAGCUACUUGGGAGGCUGAGGCAGGAGAAUCACUUGAACCUGGGAGGUGGAGGUUGCAGUGAACUGAGAUCAUGCCACUGCACUCCAGCCUAGGUGACAGAGCGAGACUCUGUCUCAA